rnacentral:rRNA from 1 species
UACAUGGGGUGCAAACGUUGCUCGGAAUCACUGGGCGUAAAGGGCGCGUAGGCGGGAUGGCAAGUCGGUCGUGAAAUCCUUCGGCUCAACCGAAGAACGUCGGCCGAUACUGCCGUUCUUGAGGGAUGCAGAGGAGAUUGGAAUUCCCGGUGUAGCGGUGAAAUGUGUAGAGAUCGGGAGGAACACCGGUGGCGAAGGCGGGUCUCUGGGCAAUUCCUGACGCUGAGGCGCGAAAGCGUGGGGAGCAAACGGG